GCCCUAAUAGCUUAAAUUUAAAAGCACUGGUCUUGUAAAUCAGAGACUGAAGUUUAAAAUCUUCUUAAGGCU
rnacentral:tRNA from 1 species